rnacentral:rRNA from 1 species
CAACCUACGGGGCGCAGCAGUGGGGAAUAUUGCACAAUGGGGGGAACCCUGAUGCAGCGACGCCGCGUGAGUGAAGAAGUCAUUCGUGAUGUAAAGCUCUAUCAGCAGGGAAGAAAAUGACGGUACCUGACUAAGAAGCCCCGGCUAACUACGUGCCAGCAGCCGCGGUAAUACGUAGGGGGCAAGCGUUAUCCGGAUUUACUGGGUGUAAAGGGAGCGUAGACGGCAGCGUAAGUCUGGAGUGAAAUGCGGGGGCUCAACCCCGGAACUGCUUUGGAAACUGUGCGGCUCGAGUGCGGGAGAGG